rnacentral:misc_RNA from 1 species
AAGUCGUAACAAGGUUUCCGUAGGUGAACCUGCGGAAGGAUCAUUACAGUGUUCCUGCCCUCACGGGUAGAAACCCCACCCUUGUAUAUUCUAUCUUUGUUGCUUUGGUAGGCCGCCUUCGGGCACCGGCUCACGCUGGAUCGUGCCUGCCAGAGGACCCCAAAUUCUGAAUGUUAGUGUCGUCUGAGUACUAUAUAAUAGUUAAAACUUUCAACAACGGAUCUCUUGGUUCUG